rnacentral:rRNA from 1 species
AUACGGAGGAUCCAAGCGUUAUCCGGAAUCAUUGGGUUUAAAGGGUCCGUAGGUGGAUAAUUAAGUCAGAGGUGAAAUCCUGCAGCUCAACUGUAGCAUUGCCUUUGAUACUGGUUAUCUUGAGUUAUUAUGAAGUAGUUAGAAUAUGUAGUGUAGCGGUGAAAUGCAUAGAUAUUACAUAGAAUACCGAUUGCGAAGGCAGAUUACUAAUAAUAUACUGACACUGAGGGACGAAAGCGUGGGGAACGAACAGGAUUAGAAACCCUAGUAGUCC